CCACCAACAGUGUAUGAAGGUUCCCUUUUCUCUCAGGAUCCUGUUUUUCUCGUGUGUUGCUCCACAUAUGUGAAUUUACGCCCUUUCAGUCUCGCAUAAGUAGCUUUACAUUGUUUUCAUCCUCUGUGAUCAAAAUGACAAGGAUUCUUCAUCUUUAGGGAUCGCAGAUUAAUACAGUGAAUUAGUCUGUGAGCGCUGGUGUCACAGCCUGCAUUGGAAUGUCAGUCCUACCACUUAUUAUCUGUGAUCCUGAGCCUCAGUUUCCCAGUCUGGGAAAUGGUACCAACCUCAUAGGAUUAAUGGAACAAGGUUUAAUGGCUCUUCCAGCGACAUCUGCAUUUAUGAGGGGGGAAAGAAAAAGGAUCCCUAACAGAUGGAGAAAGAGGCCCUCUGGGUAGAGAAAG